CUCAGAAACUUAAAGGAAUUGACGGGGACCCGCACAAGCGGUGGAGCAUAUGGUUUAAUUCGACGAUACGCGAAGAACCUUACCUGGCCUUGACAUACUAAAAAGCUUUAAGAGAUUAGAGUGUGCUAGCUUGCUAGAAUUUAGAUACAGGUGCUGCACGGCUGUCGUCAGCUCGUGUCGUGAGAUGUUGGGUUAAGUCCCGCAACGAGCGCAACCCUCGUGUUUAGUUGCUAACAGUUCGGCUGAGAACUCUAAACAGACUGCCUACGCAAGUAGGAGGAAGGUGAGGACGACGUCAAGUCAUCAUGGCCCUUACGGCCAGGGCUACACACGUGCUACAAUGGGGUAUACAAAGAGCAGCGAUACGGUGACGUGGAGCAAAUCUAGAAAAUGCCUCUCAGUUCGGAUUGUAGUCUGCAACUCGACUACAUGAAGUUGGAAUCGCUAGUAAUCGUAGAUCAGCAAUGCUACGGUGAAUACGUUCCCGGGUCUU
rnacentral:rRNA from 1 species